CCUUUUAUUCCCAUAAAAGUUCCCUAAACAUCCUACCCCACCCCCAGAGACCACGCUCAGACUCCUCCUCUCACCCUCACUGUUCUCCGUCGCCCACUGCCCACCGGAUAUUGCCCACGAUGGCGGCACCACUCCAAAUUACUCCAAAUUGUCACCCUACAAUCCCCAGCCCUUCCUCAGUCCAAAUACACUAUUCAUUUCCCUCAAAUCCCACCCAAAUUCCACGAUUAAUAGAUCUAGGAAAAUAUUAAAACCUAAUAUGUCCCCUUUUCGAUUUUUCGGCCUUUUUCAAUUCGUUUUGACUUGAAAUUUAUGCUGAUCAAUUGCUCUUGACGAGAGAAAUCGAUUGACGUUAGUUUUAGGUCACUUCGAGGUCGCCGAAGGUCGGUCAAAUCCCGUUGACCGGCCAGAAUUCACUCUCCUCUAUUGCUUGCCGGAGUCUUUUCACCAUUGGAUAUCUUCUCACUCGCCGAAUUUGUUUAUGUUGACUGAUUCGAGCCAUCCGGAGGUUGUUUCACACGGAAAGGUCUUUUUAGAGUAUUGAUUUAGCUUCAUUGAGGUAAGUAUCUUGCCUAACUUUAUGUGAAAAAAAUUACCCCGUAGGAUGAGCUUAAUUGCAUUAUUUGAAUUACGUGGACGAUGUGUACAUGAGAUGACGAGUGUGUACACAGGAUUAUAUAUGAAAAUUGACUGGUUUAGACUCUUAGGCUUCUUUCAUGCAUUUAUUUUAAGUUAUUAGUGCACGUUAUAUUUUUUAAUUGUCAAGUUUACUCUCACAUGCUUUAUUUGAAGUUAUUAGCACAUGUUAUAUCUUUUACUUAUCAAGUUUACGCUUAUAUGCUCUAUUUGAAGUUGUUACCUCUUUUAUUGUAAUGUGACCUUCUUUAUUGUUAAGUUAUUCUUAAUUGAAGUUGUUACAUGAUAUCCCUCGUUGACAAUUUAUUCUCAUGCAUUUAGACGUAGUUGCUAUUUCAUGACCAUCUCUUUCAUUGUUAGCUUGUGCCAUACACUAAUAUUUGGAGUUGCAAUUGCAUGAAAAUACUUUCAUUAUUGAGUUUAUUCUUAAGCAAUUAAUUGAAGUGAAGUCAUUGAAAGACAUUAACCUAUUUUAGUUGAAGUUGUUGUUUAAUGGACUAUUUUUCAUUGUCGAGUAAUUUUUCCCAUUUCAUUUUGUUGUUAUUGCGAUUCUUAUGCACAUUGUGGUUGAGUCGUGGGCUAUGUGUUGUGUUGAUAUUGAUAUUGUUGUUUUGGAAAGGUUGUGGCCUAUGGGCACUUGUGGUACGAGUUGAUAUAUUGUGUUGUUGUGAUGCUGACACAUGUGAAUUUAUUGUGUGGAUUAAUUAUUUCUAUGCGGAGCAUAAGGGUGGCAUCUCACUGUUGUUGAUUGUGCGGAGUGAUACGGGUGGCUAAUGUGUUAUUGUCUGGGCGGAGUGAUACGGGUGGCUAUUGUGUUAUUGUCUAAGCGGAGUGAUACAUGUGACUAUUGAUAUACAUUGUCUGGAGUAAUACAGAUUGUUAUUAUGAUUUGUCAAUGGGGAGAAAUAAGGGUGGCUAUGUCAGGGAUGAUAUGUGACUGUCUGGGGGCACGAUGUUGAUGAUAUUCAUGUGAUGGUGUAAUUUUUCUUGUGUGUUUCAUGCACCUUACGUGACUUGUUGUGUUGUUUCCAAUAUAUGUUGACUUGGAUUGUAAUAGUACACUGGCACAUACAUACACCGUAGCAUGACAUUUAUAUCGGUUAAGAAGUAUGAAACUUGAGAUUUAUUGAUCUCGCACACGUAUUCUUGUGUAUCUAUUUCCAUUGUGAUAUUGGACAUGUGACCACACCAGGCGGAUUUUGAUAGUGAGCCUGUGACUAUGACGGGCGGGUUGAGGAAUUGGCAGGUGAGUUAUCCGUACGGUUGUGAUUUAUAAUAUGGGCACGAAGUGCCACAAACAUAUGAUUGGUGAUUUGGGACUCGUGAUUUGUGAUUUUGAAAGGAGGUAUCUCAUAGUAAUUUUUGUUGUGAAACUUGUAUUAGAGCGGUUUGAAUAUUUGGUUGUCAUUUAUUUUUUUUAUUUGGUUUCACCGGUACUUAACGUUGUUCUGAUUACAUUACUACUUUUCUACAUGUGUAUCCCUUGUUGCCGUUAUGGUUUCUUGCUUCCGUUAUUAGCUUUAUACUGAUAUUCUGCACAGAUUAUUAUGACUAGUAGGUGUCUUGAUUUGUACUUCGUCACUACUCUACCGAGGUUAGUCUUGAUACUUAUUGGGUACCGACCGUGGUGUACUCAUACUACACUUCUGUACAUUUUUGUGCAGAUCUAGGUAUUGGAGAUAACGGAUUCAAGCAAAGUUAGCUUCUUGAUCGCGAGGAUUCAAGGUAGAGCUGUUUGGUUGCCGCAGUCCCAUGGAGUCCUUUGCUUAUAUUACUACUGUCAAAUCUCUAUCCGAACAGUAUUGUAUUUUGAAUUAUGUUAUGUAUUCAGUAGAGUUUGUGACUCUGUAUUACCUCGUCUUGAGAGGAUUGUUGUGAUUAUCGCCGCGUAGACUUGCAUCACCUUUAUUUCGGUAUUUUAUAUUAAAUUCUGCUUUAUAAUAUCAUGUUUAACUGGCGUAACUGUUGUAAGAGUAAUCGGCUUUCCUGGUCUUAGAGACUAGGUGUAAUCAUGACACCCAAGGCGGGAUUUUGGAUCGUGA